rnacentral:lncRNA from 1 species
AGCAGCAAAUUCGUAAUCAGCCCACCAACGAUAUUGGCGGAUUUUGUGAUCGUGAGAACAUUCUCAGUAAUACAUAAUUGCUAAUUUUGAGUUAAAU